rnacentral:rRNA from 1 species
GUAAAGCACUUUCAGUAGGGAGGAAGGUAGUGUAGUUAAUACCUGCACAUUUGACGUUACCUACAGAAGAAGCACCGGCUAACUACCGUGCCAGCAGCCGCGGUAAUACGGAGGGUGCGAGCGUUAAUCGGAAUUACUGGGCGUAAAGCGCAUGCAGGCGGCCUGUUAAGUCAGAUGUGAAAGCCCGGGGCUUAACCUCGGAAUUGCAUUUGAAACUGGCAGGCUAGAGUCUUGUAGAGGGGGGUAGGAAUUUCAGGUGUAGCGGUGAAAUGCGUAGAGAUCUGAAGGAAUACCAGUGGCGAAGGCGGCCCCCCUGGACAAAGACUGACGCUCAGAUGCGAAAGCGUGGGGAGCAAACAGGAUUAGAUACCCUGGUAG